AAAAAACAGUGAGACAAUAGGGUUCUAGUAGGCGGAAGAGAUGAAAAGUUUUUGUCUUUUUUUUCUCGUUUCCGCAUGGUUUUUGGGGGGCGUGAUUCGGCGGAAAGCACGGGUAAACACUGACAAAAAAAACACACCUG
ensembl:ncRNA C32A3.5 ncRNA